CCCCCGCCCCCGCCUCGCCCGGCCUUCUGCACCCUCCUGCUCCUGGUCAGGAGGGCUCCGGGCAGGCCCACUUGGGGGAGGCGGGCGACAGAGGCACAGCAGGGCUCCUCGGCUCCUCUGCCCCCAAAGCAGGAACACACCUUCCCAUGACUGGUUUCUGAAGAUGCCGGCCACAGACGCAGGUGACGCGCUGGAAGCAACACCUGACAGACAGACCACGCAGCUCAGGACACGGACAACAGCCGGUCGGUUAAUGGCCUUCUUAGUGGUGCUGUUUAUGUUUAUGGGAUGGACAGUUGCCCCCUCGUCCUACCACACCCUACAAUAUGCAUCCAAAGCAGAAAACUCACAACAUACAUAUGAACAGUCAUAAAAACCAGGCAGAGCUGUGGUGGGAAAGCACUGGCCGUCUCACUUCAAGGCCAGAAGCUCUGGUAGGGAUGCCUUCUAAAUCGCUACAGAGUCCAAGCACGGAGACAGCAAGGAAACGAAAGAGAGAGGAGAGCUCUGCUGGAAUGUGUCCCACAGGUCAGGAAAGGCAGCGCCCAGCCCAGGAGGAAGCCACCAGGGUUAACGAGGGAGGUUGAGGAAAUUGCCAGAAAAAAGAAGAUAUCCCAGGUGACGCCGGGGGUGGGGGGGGCCCUGACCACUGCAGACUGGACCCCGGACGGACUCAGCUCAUCCCGCUCGACAGGAGGAGGGUUCCCGGCUCCGCCCUCCCUGCUGGCCUCUCUCAUAAGGGGCAGGCAGGCUGCAGGUGGGGCAAAGGAGUCCAGCCCCAGACCCUGGAGGGCCGCUUCCAGUCCAAGUAGGCAAUGCCGGCCUUGGCGGACCAAAGAGGCCUGACUCAUCAGGAGGCCGCUUCAUGGGUGUCAGAGGACAACGGUUUUGGUUUGAGUCCAGGAGCGCCUGAGAGGCCAUCAAGGGGUCCGCAGUAUAGGAACAAAGAACCUGCUGGAUCAGACCAGCAGAGUCCAUCUAGUCCAGCCCUCUGCUACUCGCAGUGGCCCACCAGGUGCCUUUGGGAGCUCACGUGCAGG